rnacentral:rRNA from 1 species
AGCUUGUUGGUGAGGUAAUGGCUCACCAAGGCGACGACGGGUAGCCGGCCUGAGAGGGCGACCGGCCACACUGGGACUGAGACACGGCCCAGACUCCUACGGGAGGCAGCAGUGGGGAAUAUUGCACAAUGGGCGAAAGCCUGAUGCAGCGACGCCGCGUGAGGGAUGACGGCCUUCGGGUUGUAAACCUCUUUCAGCAGGGAAGAAGCGAAAGUGACGGUACCUGCAGAAGAAGCGCCGGCUAACUACGUGCCAGCAGCCGCGGUAAUACGUAGGGCGCAAGCGUUGUCCGGAAUUAUUGGGCGUAAAGAGCUCGUAGGCGGCUUGUCACGUCGGGUGUGAAAGCCCGGGGCUUAACCCCGGGUCUGCAUUCGAUACGGGCUAGCUAGAGUUCGGUAGGGGAGAUCGGAAUUCCUGGUGUAGCGGUGAAAUGCGCAGAUAUCAGGAGGAACACCGGUGGCGAAGGCGGAUCUCUGGGCCAUUACUGACGCUGAGGAGCGAAAGCGUGGGGAGCGAACAGGAUUAGAUACCCUGGUAGUCCACGCCGUAAACGGUGGGAACUAGGUGUUGGCGACAUUCCACGUUGUCCGUGCCGCAGCUAACGCAUUAAGU